CCUACGGGAGGCAGCAGUGGGGAAUUUUGCGCAAUGGGGGCAACCCUGACGCAGCAACGCCGCGUGAGUGAAGAAGGCCUUUGGGUCGUAAAGCUCUGUCAACUGGGAAGAAGUUACAUAUUAUGAACAGUGGUAUGUAUUGACGGUACCAGUGGAGGAAGCGCCGGCUAACUCCGUGCCAGCAGCCGCGGUAACACGGGGGGCGCAAGCGUUAUUCGGAAUUAUUGGGCGUAAAGGGCGCGUAGGCGGUUCUGUCGGUCAGAUGUGAAAGCCCGGGGCUCAACCCUGGAAGUGCAUUUGAAACAGCAGAACUUGAGUACGGGAGAGGAAAGCGGAAUUCCUGGUGUAGAGGUGAAAUUCGUAGAUAUCAGGAGGAACACCGAUGGCGAAGGCAGCUUUCUGGACCGAUACUGACGCUGAGGCGCGAAGGCGUGGGUAGCGAACGGGAUUAGAUACCCCGGUAGUCCACGCAGUAAACGAUGUUCACUAGGUGUAGCGGGUAUUAAAACCUGCUGUGCCGCAGCCAACGCAUUAAGUGAACCGCCUGGGAAGUACGGUCGCAAGACUAAAACUCAAAGGAAUUGACGGA
rnacentral:rRNA from 1 species